UACAGAGACUGCAAGCGUUAUUCGGAUUCACUGGGCGUAAAGGGUGCGCAGGCGGCCAAGUGUGUUAGGCGUGAAAGCCCGGGGCUUAACCCCGGAAUUGCACCUAAAACUACAUGGCUAGAGCAUUGGAGAGGGGAGCAGAAUUCACGGUGUAGCAGUGAAAUGCGUAGAUAUCGUGAGGAAUACCAGAGGCGAAGGCGGCUCCCUGGACAAUUGCUGACGCUCAGGCACGAAAGCGUGGGGAGCAAAAGGG
rnacentral:rRNA from 1 species